UCCAGGGCGGAUGUGUUUAGCGGCGAGAAAAACAGAAACAGAAACGAAGUUUAAAUCGAUAAUAUAUUAACCCAAGUUCAAACCGCUUAAAUCCGCAGAAAGUUAUUCGAAAAGUGAAUCAGUUCAGUUUUGAGUUUUCAGUUUUGAGUUUUGUUUUUGAACGCGGAAACGAGCGGGAAAAUGGAAGUGCCAGCGGGCAAUUAGUGCAGCCAGACAUAAAGACACACAGUCAGCUCGAAAAUAAAGUAGAAACAAAAGGAUUGCGAUUAUAAAUUAUAAACAACGACAACACAUCCACAGCGGAAUACGCAGCGACGACAGCUACAACAAACAACAAGAGGAGAAAAAAGAAAAAUUGAUAUAAAGUUCAAAGUGCUACCAGCAAGUGGAACUACAUGACAAUUAGACAAACAGCGGGAAUACAAACCAGCAACAGCAACUGCAGAAACAGCAACAAAAUGACAAACUGCCAAAGUACAGUGUUCAUAGUCGUAGGCACCCUGUUUUCCAUUCUGGCAGCGGCACAAACGGCACCCGUUUCCACCACCACACAGGCAGAGAUCUAUCUGUCCCAGUUUGGCUAUCUACCCGCCUCGGCGCGCAAUCCGGCGAGCAGUGGACUGCACGACCAGCAGACAUGGGUCAGCGCCAUCGAGGAGUUCCAAAACUUCGCUGGCUUGAAUGUCACCGGUGAACUGGACUCGGAGACCAUGAAGCUGAUGUCCCUGCCACGUUGCGGAGUGAGGGAUCGUGUGGGCACCGGCGACAGUCGGUCCAAGCGGUACGCUUUGCAGGGAAGUCGCUGGCGCGUGAAGAACCUCACCUACAAGAUCUCCAAGUACCCCAAGCGGCUGAAGCGCGUGGAUGUGGAUGCGGAGAUCGGUCGCGCAUUCGCCGUGUGGUCCGAGGACACCGAUCUGACCUUCACCAGGAAGACCUCCGGUCCCGUGCAUAUUGAGAUUAAGUUUGUGGAGAGCGAGCAUGGUGACGGCGAUGCCUUCGAUGGUCAAGGUGGCACCCUGGCUCACGCCUUCUUCCCCGUUUUCGGAGGAGAUGCCCACUUCGACGAUGCGGAACUCUGGACCAUUGGCUCGCCCCGUGGCACCAAUCUCUUCCAGGUGGCUGCCCAUGAAUUUGGACACUCCCUGGGACUCUCCCACUCCGAUCAGAGCUCGGCUCUGAUGGCGCCCUUCUACCGCGGCUUCGAACCCGUCUUCAAGCUGGACGAGGACGACAAGUCGGCCAUCCAGUCGCUGUAUGGCAGGAAGACCAACCAGCUGAGACCCACCAACAUCUACCCGCCCUCCACCCAGCGACCAUUCACCCCGCCCAAGGUGCCGCUGGACGACUCCAUUUGCAAGGACUCCAAGGUGGACACCAUGUUCAAUUCGGCGCAGGGCGAGACUUUCGCCUUCAAGGGCGACAAGUACUACAAGCUGACCACGGACUCAGUGGAGGAGGGCUACCCGCAGCUCAUCUCCAAGGGCUGGCCAGGAUUGCCGAGCAACAUCGAUGCGGCGUUCACGUACAAGAACGGCAAGACGUACUUCUUCAAGGGAACUCAGUACUGGCGCUACCAGGGACGCCAGAUGGACGGCGUUUAUCCGAAGGAGAUCAGCGAGGGAUUCACUGGCAUUCCCGAUCAUCUGGACGCCGCGAUGGUUUGGGGGGGCAAUGGCAAGAUCUACUUCUUCAAGGGCAGCAAGUUCUGGCGCUUCGAUCCGGCCAAGAGGCCACCUGUGAAGAUCAGCUAUCCCAAGCCCAUUUCCAACUGGGAGGGAUUGCCCAAUAACCUGGACGCUGCGCUCAAGUACACUAAUGGGUACACGUACUUCUUCAAGGGCAACCAGUACUACCGAUUCCACGAUGCCCGAUUCGCUGUGGACUCGGCCACGCCCCCCUUCCCCAGACCCACCGCCCACUGGUGGUUCGGCUGCAAGAACACGCCCUCGUCCACAGGUAAUAUCGUCGAGGGUUCGGACAACGAGUUCGAACAGCACUCCAUGAUCCCGCAUGCCGACGAUGGUAAUGGUGAUGAUUUCGACGCAGGUGAGUGGGACCGACUCGGCGGUAGUUUUGUUUGAGCUCGAAUCGAUCUACUGGAUCCACGAUAAGCGAAUCCCAAACUUUGUAAAGUCAAAAAGAUCUCAUAGAAAGAAGUCUUGUAUGAGUUGUUACUUAGCGAGAAGAAGUUACGAGUCAUGAAAUGAUAAUAAUAAUAAAUCCUAUCUAUAUGGUAUGUUUAAUUAAGUUAAUGUCUAUGUAGUGAAAUUCUAUUACUCAAGUCGAAUGUGUUUGUCUUUGUUGCCUAUGGAAGAAAUACAUUUAUAAUACUUAUUGAAAAAAAACUAAUUACCAAACUGUGUAUGUCCAAUGUCUUUUGAUCAGUCUAUAUAUAUUUUGUACUUAUAUAUCUUGUAUAUUUAUUAAUUUCUCUUUACUCUUGAUUUUGUGGUGUUUUACUUUAGUUUUGUUCCAGUGUUUUCAGGUUGAGUUUUACUUAACUGAAAACACUUUUCUUUCGAGUAUACGACAUAACUAACACCUUAAUCUAAAAUAUCUAAUCAUAUUACUAAAAUCUACUCUCAAUUUAUAUAAUAUUCUUUUUCUAGCGCUACUAAUCUUGAUACUAACCUAACUUUGCAAAACUUUUCACUUUCUAAUAUUUGUGUGUUCCUUCCAAUAACCAAUCUAAUCCUAUCUGUAUCUUAUGCUUUCGGUAUUCGGUUUUUUUUUCCUAUUAAACUAACGAACUCAAUUUAGCAUACCAUGUAUAAAAAAGUUUUUAAGCCUAAGAAACAGCUAUUAAUAAAAAAAGCUAUACAAUAAUUUAAUAUCUUGCUUACAGUUUAAUAGCCAAGAAAAAAAUAUAAAGCAAUUAUCUACAGCAACAACAACAGCAACAAAAACUACUGGUCAGUCGGUCUCACUAACUGUGGUCCAAGAUCAACUCCACCAAAAACCAUUUUCCUAGCCUAUAAGUCACAAUCCUAGCAUGCGCACAAUCUAACCAACUAAACUGUAGAGCCCAUCAAAACCUAUAAACCAUCUGCAAUAAGUUACUAACUAACUCACCCCAAGAAAAACAACACUAUUUGUUAAACACCACAAGUCCCAAAAAAUGAAAACCCUAAAAAAAGAAAACACUCCUAUAAAAAACACCCUAUGGUAUAAGCGUAGUUCCUUAGCACUAAGUAUUUAUCCAGAUAUGGUACUAUUAAUAUUUGAUUUUCCACUCCCCUGAACUAAACUCUUUACCCUGUAGUCUGAAAACCGCAUAAACUUGAACCAUGUUUAUGCGUAACCGUUUCCUUGUUUUGGCACCCUCGGCACAAAAUUUCAAAUGGCUAAAUGGCUGGGUUGAACCACACGUAAAAACCACCCACUCACCACCCAACCAAACCACCGAACCACCCACUCCACCCAAACUUACACUUACACACCUGAAAUCCCCACGUUAAUUGCAUGAACAAACCGAAAACGUACUAAUCUAGAGCAAACAAAAAAAAUUACACCUGCAUGGGAAGCAAAAAGUCGGCGGGUAUUAUAAAUAAUCGGGUAUAUGGGGCCAUAUAUGUGGUCCACACAUCCCGUUAUGACCCACAAUCGGAUAUUUGUAUGACACUCGCUUAACCAUCGCAUGCACGUGCCUGGCCCAUAAUCGUUAAAUUUGCAUUCAACAAAAGCAAAAUGCCGAACUCCAGAACUCGAAAUGUAUUCGUCAUUGUCAUCUGUCUGUAUGUAUGUAUAUUUCUUGCAGGCUUUAAGAGACGUGGAUACAAAAACAAGAACAUUUAACCACAGCACACAUCCAGAAAAAACACAACAACUACAAGAACAGCCGAACCAAAACGAACACCAAACUCCAUUUAACCACCCACAUAUGUACAUCAGAAGAAUUACAAAGCGAAUGUGCCGCCCCCAUUAAGCAUAUAGCAAUCAAAAACAGAGCUUUCCUGUCUUCCUUCGCCUUCGCCUCUCCCUUUGUAGUCGUAAUCGCCAUGGUGAUUCUUCCUGCUCCACUGUAGUAUCAUCCAGAUCUUAGACUGCUAUCGCAUUACUGCCACAUACGUAUUUGUUUGAGCACAUCCCGCCCUCCCCGAAUGCAAUUUUGAUAUAUUCUUUCCCGAAGAAUUGUUUUAUUUAUGCUUUUUCUUCUCUACUUUUGUUUCUCUAAAACAAAAAAAAACUUUUAAUUUGCGGCUCUUGUAUACGCACUUGAUAUAUACAGCACCGCAAGUGCCGAAUCAGGGUAUUCUGCCCGGCUGGAUGUGGGGCCUAACGAACAGAUUCUUCUAGAGGAUCUCGUGCUCAUCCAUGUGUUGUAGCCCAGUCCCGUUGUAAAUUGCCAGCAUUAGUGCUUGUCCAUCGAACCCGCUUGAGUGAUCUCUGUCUGAAUAAAGUAAACCAUCAAAUCGAAACAUAUAUAAUACAUGCCACGCCCAAGAUCUGCGCCGCCUGCCGAAACGCCAAACCAAGCCAAAUAGAAAGAAACGAGUUUACAGAGUGAAGACCGUGGGCGAUCACCAGUCCAACGACGAACCCAUCGCACCGGAAGUGGCUGAGCGAACCGGAAAUGGAGCCAUGUCGCAAACGAAAAUGACGAGCAACUCCGCCGUAAGC